GGUCUGAGAGGAUGACCAGCCACACUGGAACUGAGACACGGUCCAGACUCCUACGGGAGGCAGCAGUGGGGAAUAUUGCACAAUGGGCGCAAGCCUGAUGCAGCCAUGCCGCGUGUAUGAAGAAGGCCUUCGGGUUGUAAAGUACUUUCAGCGAGGAGGAAGGCAUUGUGGUUAAUAACCGCAGUGAUUGACGUUACUCGCAGAAGAAGCACCGGCUAACUCCGUGCCAGCAGCCGCGGUAAUACGGAGGGUGCAAGCGUUAAUCGGAAUUACUGGGCGUAAAGCGCACGCAGGCGGUCUGUUAAGUCAGAUGUGAAAUCCCCGGGCUCAACCUGGGAACUGCAUUUGAAACUG
rnacentral:rRNA from 1 species